rnacentral:rRNA from 1 species
GUUGUAUAGUCAAGUGAAUAAGUGCACACGGUGGAUGCCUUGGCAGUCAGAGGCGAAGAAAGACGUGACAGCCUGCGAAAAGCGUCGGGGAGGCGGCAAUAUCCUGUGAUCCGGCGAUAUCUGAAUGGGGAAACCCACUUGCCAGAAGGCAAGUAUCGUAACUAAUACGAAGCGAACCGGGAGAAGUGAAACAUCUCAGUACCCCGAGGAAAAGACAUCAAACGAGAUUCCCCCAGUAGCGGC